GCUGUAGCUCAGGGACAAAGCAUCUGUCUUGUGUGCAGAAGGCCAUAUGUUCAAUCCUUGGCAUCUCCA